UACGUAGGGGGCUAGCGUUGUCCGGAAUCAUUGGGCGUAAAGAGCGUGUAGGCGGUCCGGUAAGUCCGCUGUGAAAGUCGGGGGCUCAACCUCGAGAUGUCGAUGGAAACCGUCUGGCUAGAGUCCGGAAGAGGAGUGUGGAAUUCCUGGUGUAGCGGUGAAAUGCGCAGAUAUCAGGAAGAACACCUAUGGCGAAGGCAGCACUCUGGGACGGUACUGACGCUGAGACGCGAAAGCGUGGGGAGCGAACAGG
rnacentral:rRNA from 1 species